UACGUAGGCAGCAAGCGUUGUUCGGAAUUACUGGGCGUAAAGAGUGUGUAGGCGGUGCUCUAAGUUCGGUGUGAAAUCUCCUGGCUCAACUGGGAGGGUGCGCCGGAAACUGGGGUGCUGGAGCGCGGGAGAGGAAAGCGGAAUUCCUGGUGUAGCGGUGAAAUGCGUAGAUAUCAGGAGGAACAGCCGGCGGUGUAGACGGCUUUCUGGACCGUAGCUGACGCUGAGACACGAAAGCGUGGGUAGCAAACAGG
rnacentral:rRNA from 1 species